rnacentral:rRNA from 1 species
GAUGAACGCUAGCGGCAGGCCUAACACAUGCAAGCUGAACGGCAAGAUUUGUAGCAAUACGAGUCCUAGAGUAGCGUAAGGGUGCGUAACACGUAUGCAAUCUGCCCGCAACAGGAGGAUAGCUUAGCGAAAGUUGAGAUAAGACUCCAUAAGAUCACGAGAGGGCAUCUGAUUGUGAUUAAACUACAAGGGGUUGCGGAUGAGCANGCGUCUGAUUAGUUAGUUGGCGGGGUAACGGCCCACCAAGACGAUGAUCAGUAGGGGAACUGAGAGGUUGGUCCCC